rnacentral:rRNA from 1 species
ACUGCUCAGUAACACGUCGAUAAUCUGCCCUUAGGCCAGGGAUAACCUUGGGAAACUGAGGCUAAAACCUGAUAGGAGAAUUCUACUGGAAUGUGUUUUCUCCCAAAGGCAACACCUAAGGAUGAGUUGGCGGCGGAUUAGCUUGUUGGUGGGGUAAUGGCCCACCAAGGCUUUGAUCCGUAGGGGCCUUGAAAGAGGUAGCCCCGAGAAGGGUACUGAGAUACUGACCCUAGCCCCACGGGGUGCAGCAGGCGCGAAACCUUUACACUACACGAAAGUGUGAUAAGGGGAUUCCAAGUGCUUAUACAAAGUAUAAGCUUUUUUUAAGGGCAAAGUCCUUGAAGAAUAAGUGGUGGGUAAGACCGGUGCCAGCAGCCGCGGUAAUA